GAUGAACGCUGGCGGCGUGCUUAACACAUGCAAGUCGAACGGUGAAGGCGGAGCUUGCUCUGCUGGAUCAGUGGCGAACGGGUGAGUAACACGUGAGCAAUCUGCCCCUGACUCUGGGAUAAGCGCUGGAAACGGCGUCUAAUACUGGAUACGAGCUGCGAAGGCAUCUUCAGCAGCUGGAAAGAACUUCGGUCAGGGAUGAGCUCGCGGCCUAUCAGCUUGUUGGUGAGGUAACGGCUCACCAAGGCGUCGACGGGUAGCCGGCCUGAGAGGGUGACCGGCCACACUGGGACUGAGACACGGCCCAGACUCCUACGGGAGGCAGCAGUGGGGAAUAUUGCACAAUGGGCGAAAGCCUGAUGCAGUAACGCCGCGUGAGGGACGACGGCCUUCGGGUUGUAAACCUCUUUUAGCAGGGAAGAAGCGAAAGUGACGGUACCUGCAGAAAAAGCGCCGGCUAACUACGU
rnacentral:rRNA from 1 species